rnacentral:lncRNA from 1 species
UUUCUUUAUUGUAAAGCUUAAUUUUUACCUUUGUAAUAAGAUACUUUGACAUUAGGUAAAAUAUUAUUACCCAGCAUCUUUAGUAUCUAUUGUAGUGUAAUCAGUAGCUGCUACAAGGGUUACUUAGCUGAUCAUUUGAAUAUCACAGGGAGCACUUUUCUAUUUUAGCAGGUGUAGAUGUCUUGCCUUCCCAGCUAGGUACAGGUGGCUGUCUUUAUGUGCUGGCCACACUGUCCUCUACUGCCUCUGGUAUUUAUUUGGGAAGUGUGAUUCAUGUAAUGGAUGAAUUUAAGCUCAGCUGUUACUUCUCCAGUCUAGCUUCUAUCCUCCUUCUCUGUCAUUCCCAUUAGUGUUCAUAGUAGCACAACCACAAGGUCCUGUAUUUGGAUGGGUGACAGACAGUACAGAGCUAGUACUCAGACCUUGACCAUAGCUGCUGAGUAUACCCAUGUGAUCAGACCUGGUUUACUGAGCUGUCUGGUUACUGGGCUUGGGGUCUUAUACUUCUUCAGAGUGGAUCUUUUGCUGGUUAUAAGAUAGUGGGAUUAUACAAUAAUUGUGUUAUUCAAAUAUGAAAUAAAACUUGAUUUAAAAAAAAGUCGGAUGGUGGCUUAAGCAGCCUCCCCAUGUGAACCAGCUGAAUUUUGUGCAAGCUGGAGUUGGCAUUUUAGACUAGGUGCCCCUCAAGUUACCUUAACUACCAUUAGUCUCUAAAUUGGCCUUUGUUUCACGAUUCUGGAUGUGUGUACCUUCCACGCUGCUAUAAUGUUCCUUCACACUUCCCAAAUUUGAUGGCGAUGAAUGAGAGCCUAAGUGGGUCAGGGGUGUUUAUAUAUAGUCCUUUUUCUUCUACCCAUGUCAGUCAGCUUACAGUUAAUAUAUGCAGUGAAUUAGGCUGUAAUAAUAGUGUCCUUAUGGAAGUAAGUGAACUGGCAGGAGAGGUCACGGUGUCUUGAAUCAUGAAGGCAAGGCUGGGACUAGAUGCAGACUGUAUAUUGUAUCCUUUGGGGUCAAAUACAGGAAUGCUGGAGCUGAGAUCUGGGCAAGCAGGUUCUGCACAGCCUCAGCAGGGGUAAUUCAGUG